rnacentral:rRNA from 1 species
ACUACGGGUGGCAGCAGUGGGGAAUAUUGGGCAAUGGAGGCAACUCUGACCCAGCAACGCCGCGUGAAUGAUGAAGGUCUUCGGAUUGUAAAGUUCUGUGAUGGGGGAUGAACACAAUGACGGUACCCCAAUAGCAAGCCACGGCUAACUACGUGCCAGCAGCCGCGGUAAUACGUAGGUGGCAAGCGUUAUCCGGAAUGACUGGGCGUAAAGGGGGCGUAGGGGGUUUAGUAAGUUGCCGUUGUAAUUCCGGGGCUCAACCUUGGCGCUAACGCCAAAACUAUUAGACUAGAGUGCAGGAGGGGUAAGUGGAAUUCCUAGUGUAGCGGUGGCAUGCGUAGAUAUUAGGAGGAACAUCAGGGGCGAAGGCGACUUACUGGACUGUAACUGACACUGAGGCACGAAAGCGUGGGGAGCAAACAGGAUGAGAUACCCGGGUAGUC